GGGUUCACGUUAGUUAACUUGAAUCAAAGUCAAGUUCUUUCAUGAGAGAUCCGUUCAUAUUGGCAUCUCUGGCUAAGCAAGUCUUUUACUCGAAGGAGAAUGAUCAAACUGGUUGGUGUGUUUUACUAAAAGGUCCUUCCAGAAGAUAUAGCGAGGAAGUUGAAAAAGAUGGAAACACAUAUAUAGGACCAAUGCCAUCAAUAAUUCCAAUGGAUAUUGAGUUAGAGGAAGAAGAAAAUGCUCAAAAUGCGCGAACUAAUUGUGAAGGCAUAUAUGUGUGUUAUGUUUUAUGUGCGUUUGUGUGUUGAUAUGCUUAUGUUAGGUGAAUCACAAUAGGGAAUAAAAAGACAACAAAGACGACUAAGAAGUCCAAGAAAUCAAAGAAGAAACUUGUUGAUGAAGAUGAGCCGGAAUUUAUGUGUACUGUGUACCCUGAUCAAACUGCAGCCGAUGAUGUAGAAAGAGUGAAUGAAACAGGAGAGAAUGAGGAAGAAAUAGCGGCUGAUGCAAGAGAGAGUGAUGAAGUGAAUGCAUAAAAGGAGAAUGAGGAAGAAAGAGUGGCUGAACAAAGAGAGACUGAGGAAGGAAGGCAAAAUGAAGAAGGUGUUCAAGAUGAUGAGCCUCUUGGUUAUGUUGAAAUGUCAGAAGAGAAACAAGAUCAACAAAGAUGAAUAAUGUAACUAAAUAUCCAAAUGUCUGUGAAAUAUUUGAAUUCAAUGGCAUGGGAGAGGCUAUAGGUCCUGGCUCAGUAAAGCUGUCCUCUUAUCUAGGUCAAUUAGUGCGGGAACAUGUUCCUGUCACCAUUGAUGACUGAAAGAAAAUCACUGACGAACUGAGAGCAGUUUUGUGGAAAUCUGUAUAGGCUAGAUUUGACCUCGAUGAAGAGUUCCAGAAGAAUCCUGUGAUGGGGCAAAUGGGAUGCCUCUGGAAUUCCUCCAAAUCAAGACUAGUCUCCUAGAUAAGAUCCAAAUCUACUAACCAAGACCGAAUGAAUCUGAGACCUAAGAAUGUUUCACCACGAGAAUGGCGUAAGUUUGUGAAGCUCAAGACUAGAUUAGAAUUUGCAGGUAUAAGUGAAUCUUACAAAGAGAGACGGCGAAGACAAAUACCACACACUUGUAGCCGCAAAGGAAUGGCCAGGCUGGCAUAAGAGUUGACACAACAAAGUUCCGAACCAUCUCAAGUGAGUAGGCUAAAGGUCUGGGUCCAGUCACAUAGUAAAAAGGAUGGUACUCCAGUCAACACAAAAGCAGCUGAAAAAUAUGUUAAGUAUUUAAUGUUGUUCUUCAUUUUCUGGUCUAUAUUCUCAUUUACCAUAUGCAUGUUUGUAAUGUAUGAAGAAGAAAGCAGCUGAGUUGGUUGAUAAUGCUGGUUCAUCAACUUCAACAAACCCACGAGAUGACCCCUUUUCACAGCUAUAAGGACCUGAUAAUCUAGGUCGUCUAAGGGCAAUGGGAA